rnacentral:rRNA from 1 species
CUACGGGAGGCAGCAGUGGGGAAUAUUGCACAAUGGGCGAAAGCCUGAUGCAGCAACGCCGCGUGAGGGAAGACGGUUUUCGGAUUGUAAACCUCUGUUUUCGGUGACGAACAAAUGACGGUAACCGAGUAGGAAGCCACGGCUAACUACGUGCCAGCAGCCGCGGUAAUACGUAGGUGGCAAGCGUUAUCCGGAAUUACUGGGUGUAAAGGGAGCGCAGGCGGGAUAGCAAGUCAGCUGUGAAAACUAUGGGCUCAACCCAUAAACUGCAGUUGAAACUGUUAUUCUUGAGUGGAGUAGAGGCAAGCGGAAUUCCGAGUGUAGCGGUGAAAUGCGUAGAUAUUCGGAGGAACACCAGUGGCGAAGGCGGCUUGCUGGGCUCUAACUGACGCUGAGGCUCGAAAGUGUGGGGAGCAAACAGGAUUAGAUACCCUGGUAGUCCACACUGUAAACGAUGAUUGCUAGGUGUGGGGGGUCUGACCCCCUCCGUGCCGGAGUUAACGCAAUAAGCAAUCCACCUGGGGAGUACGGCCGCAAGGUUGAAACUCAAAGGAAUUGACGGGGGCCCGCACAAGCAGUGGAGUAUGUGGUUUAAUUCGAAGCAACGCGAAGAACCUUACCAGGUCUUGACAUCCGAUGCAUAGUGCAGAGAUGCAUGAAGUCCUUCGGGACAUCGAGACAGGUGGUGCAUGGUUGUCGUCAGCUCGUGUCGUGAGAUGUUGGGUUAAGU